rnacentral:rRNA from 1 species
GCAAUCUACCUUUUACAGAGGGAUAGCCCAGAGAAAUUUGGAUUAAUACCUCAUAGUAUUACGACUCGGCAUCGAGAUGUAAUUAAAGUCACAACGGUAAAAGAUGAGCAUGCGUCCCAUUAGCUAGUUGGUAAGGUAACGGCUUACCAAGGCAACGAUGGGUAGGGGUCCUGAGAGGGAGAUCCCCCACACUGGUACUGAGACACGGACCAGACUCCUACGGGAGGCAGCAGUGAGGAAUAUUGGUCAAUGGGCGCAAGCCUGAACCAGCCAUGCCGCGUGCAGGAUGAAGCAUCUAUGGUGUGUAAACUGCUUUUGUACGAGAAGAAACACUCCUUCGUGAAGGAGCUUGACGGUAUCGUAAGAAUAAGGACCGGCUAACUCCGUGCCAGCAGCCGCGGUAAUACGGAGGGUCCAAGCGUUAUCCGGAAUCAUUGGGUUUAAAGGGUCCGUAGGCGGUUUUGUAAGUCAGUGGUGAAAGCCCAUCGCUCAACGGUGGAACGGCCAUUGAUACUGCAAGACUUGAAUUAUUAGGAAGUAACUAGAAUAUGUAGUGUAGCGGUGAAAUGCUUAGAGAUUACAUGGAAUACCAAUUGCGAAGGCAGGUUACUACUAAUGGAUUGACGCUGAUGGACGAAAGCGUGGGGAGCGA